ACGCACAAUUCAUUGUCCUGCUCUUCCUUUAUUGAGAGUUGUGAUAUUUCUGUUGUGCCAGAAUAAAGCUGGAGGUAAAUUAGCAGAGCGGCUGCCUGGUGCCACCUCUGCCAGUCCCCUUCGUACAAUG